rnacentral:rRNA from 1 species
GUUGACCUCGAAUCAGGUAGGAAUACCCGCUGAACUUAAGCAUAUCAAUAAGCGGAGGAAAAGAAACCAACAGGGAUUGCCCCAGUAACGGCGAGUGAAGCGGCAACAGCUCAAAUUUGAAAUCUGGCUCUCGGGCCCGAGUUGUAAUUUGUAGAGGAUGCUUUUGGUGAGGUGCCUUCCGAGUUCCCUGGAACGGGACGCCAUAGAGGGUGAGAGCCCCGUCUGGUUGGACACCGAUCCUCUGUAAAGCUCCUUCGACGAGUCGAGUAGUUUGGGAAUGCUGCUCUAAAUGGGAGGUAUAUGUCUUCUAAAGCUAAAUACCGGCCAGAGACCGAUAGCGCACAAGUAGAGUGAUCGAAAGAUGAAAAGAACUUUGAAAAGAGAGUUAAACAGUACGUGAAAUUGUUGAAAGGGAAGCGCUUGUGACCAGACUUGGGCUUGGUUGAUCAUCCGGGGUUCUCCCCGGUGCACUCUUCCGGCUCAGGCCAGCAUCAGUUCGCCCUGGGGGAUAAAGGCUUCGGGAAUGUGGCUCUCUCCGGGGAGUGUUAUAGCCCGCUGCGUAAUACCCUGUGGCGGACUGAGGUUCGCGCAUUCGCAAGGAUGCUGGCGUAAUGGUCAUCAGUGACCCGUCUUGAAACACGGACCAAGGAGUCGUCUUCGUAUGCGAGUGUUCGGGUGUCAAACCCCUACGCGAAAUGAAAGUGAACGCAGGUGAGAGCUUCGGCGCAUCAUCGACCGAUCCUGAUGUUAUCGGAUGGAUUUGAGUAAGAGCAUACGGGGCCGGACCCGAAAGAAGGUGAACUAUGCCUGUGUAGGGUGAAGCCAGAGGAAACUCUGGUGGAGGCUCGCAGCGGUUCUGACGUGCAAAUCGAUCGUCAAACAUGGGCAUGGGGGCGAAAGACUAAUCGA